UACUUCUGGUCUGGAAGUUUCUUAUUCGCUUCCCCAAAGAAAUGAGAGUUUAGAGAUGGGGAGAUAGAAGCCAGUCAGAGCCAGCACAGCAGGAGAGAAUUUUUCAGGACUCCUGGGUAGAAGAACCUACCAAAUGUGAACAAUGAGGCAUUUUUCUUCAAUUAGUGCUGAUAACUGUUUGAGACCUCAAAAUGAGCUGGCCUGAGAAAGAGCCAGUAGACUGAGAAUGGCUGAGAGGAAAGAGGAAACAUAUCUGGGUCGCUGAUGUCAUCACUGACCAGUGCCGAGAGCUCUAUGCUCUACCUGAAUCCUGGCUUUCCCAUCGUGAGAGGUACUUAAUCAGUGAAAGGUUCAUUGAAUUUGGAUUUUGUGUGUGGCAGGCUGACUGCAUUUGCAGCCUCAGUUACUGGCGUCCCUGGAUCCAUGUUCUUCAGCUGGCAGUUUUCCCACUCUGUGAGGACGGCUUUACUCAGUUGAAAGUGACAGAAGGGACGGGAUGCCGGUUCUCAGCCCAGACCACAUGGGACCUUGAGUGUCUCAGCUUCCGCUUGGAAUUCUUCCACCGCCGUGACUACCAGCCUGGGCCAGCCCCCAAAGAAUGACAGACCACGUGGAAGAGAGCCUGCCAAGACCAGGAUCAAGAUCAGACAUGCCUCCUCAACCGCCAGCUGACCACAGACACAUGAGUGAGCCUGGCCAAGCCCAGAAAGUCUGCCCAUCCGACCCACAGACGCGUGAGCAAUAACACAUGUCCAGUGCUGUAAGACACGGAGAUUUGGGAUGGAGUAUCAGGCACCAAGAACUGACUAAUUCAGUUACUUGUGAACAAAAGCAUCCUCGCUGAUGAAGCCAAACAGGCAGUGAAGAGACAGGCGGUGGUGGUGGGGGGGUGUCCUUAAAUAUAUUUGAGCAGCUGGGACAUCUGUGAAAAUCUUUGAUUAGGGAAAUGAUCACAUUAGACAAAACAUUCUGGCAUGACUGUGGAGGAUGGUAUUAAGUGACUAAACUUUUACUGAAAAUAGCCAAGCCCAUGAAGGAAGAAAACUUUAAUGUGUAAGACAACAUGAUCUAAGAAGAGGUAUCUGAACAGAAAAGAGGAAAAGAAGAUGAAGCACAGAGGGCAGAGGUCGUAGAGAUGUCUUGAGUCCCCACCACUACAGGCAAGUUGAUCUACAGCAAGAAUCAGACACUCAGUGUGAGGUCCCCAAACCAACAGUAUUGUCAGCAUCUGAAACUUACUAGUAAUUCAAAUUCUCAGCUCCUCCCCAGACCUGCAGCGUCAGAAGCUGGGUAUAGGUCCCAACAAUCUGUCUUCACAAGCCCUCCAGAUUCUUUUUACAGUUUGAGAACCACUGACCUGGGCCAUGGUGAGAAGCUAUUAAGGAUGCCAAGUCAUUAAGGCACCAGCACUGAUUUCAGAUCAUCUCUACCAUAAGGACGUCAGCUGAGAUGUCACCAACUUUAUCUGGUUGAAAGUCUUAGUCAGCAGAUACAAGGCUUGUUCCCAGGGCUACUCCUCUGCGUUCUGACCUCUCCGUGGCCAUGUCCUGAUGCUAGCCAUAAUGUCCUCCACUGGUCCUGAGAUUCUGCUGUAACAUGGCUCAGAGGAGUGACUUCCUGAGCCACAAGCAGAGAUCAAGAUUUUUCUGAACCAUAAGCCAAGACUGGAGUGCAGAAUGUGUAUAGGGAUAGAGGAAACUGAAUUUACGAUAUCAGCAAAUUAAUGAUCUUGCUACCUCAAGAGGACCCAGGUCUGGUCCUCCUCCUUCUGCCUGGAGAGGGGUCAAUCGUGUGCUCAACAGGAUGCUCCCCACGAACGGCCUGUGCUGACCCCCGUAGUCUGUAUACCACCUCUUACACCUUACCCCAUGAGAAGAUUUUUGGACACGUCUUCACUUCCCAGUUUUCCUUAACUCUAGAGGUUGCUGAUGUAUCAGUGAUGUAAGUCUAUGAGG
ensembl:lncRNA